rnacentral:lncRNA from 1 species
GGAAGAGGAGGACGAGGGCAAAGAAGAGAAGGAAGGAGAGCCAUCUCUGAUGAGAUUGGGCAACACUUGUUGAUGAUGUGAUUAACCACGGUUUGACCAUGAGAGAGGCUGGAUUGAGAGUCCAGCCCAACUUGAGUCGAUUUACAGUGGCGUCCAUAAUUCGUACCUUCAGAAAUGAGAACAGAGUGGAAAGGCAAAGACAUCAUGGAGGGCGAGGACGCUUGUUUACAGAUGUACGAGACUGCAAUUAUAAAUAUGGUUUUGGCCAACAAUGCAAUUAGGAUUCGAGAGAUAAGAGAGCAUGUCUUGAAUAAUGACACCAUAUUUAACAACAUCAAUGCUGUAAGCCUGUCGACCAUACAACGCAUCCUCCAACGGCACCGAGUGAUGAUGAAACAACUUUACAAGGUGCCAUUUGAGAGAAACGCCGACAGAGUCAAGAAUAUGCGACAUGACUUUGUAGAGAGAGUAUUAGCGCCGGAUGCCCAUGUAAUUCGCCAUGAAUUUAUUUAUGUGGAUGAGGUUGGCUUCAACCUCACCAAAACCAGGCGCCGUGGAAGAAAUGUAAUAGGACAGAGGGCAAUUACCAAUGUCCCUGGACAGCGUGGGGGCAAUGGAGGACGCAUAGAGGUUGCCUCUAUCCAAGGUUGGAUACGCCAUGCUAGGAGAUGCUUCCCUCGAUGUUUGGCAAGAUAAAACGUAUCUUGUGAUGUGGACGAAGUAUUGUGGCCAGACCCAGCC